rnacentral:lncRNA from 1 species
AAAAAGAGAUUAGUAGGGAUCCAGCUUUCAGAGGGGGCAGCCUGUGGGCAAAUCCUGACCAUUUUACUUCCUGCACUGGCAGAACUCUCCUCCCAGAUGGGCUACAAAGAGGCAAGUUGAGGGCGGCGGCGAGGCGGCCGCAGGUUCAGCGUCUGGAGCCCAGGGCCUGGACCGCCUUCUCGCCCGCCUUUCCAGGCGGUGGCUGGUCACGUCGCGAGGAGGCGGGGCGGGAGGCGGGGCCUGCGUGGGGCUGGCUGGCGGCCAGGCUUCUUCGCACGUGGAGUCACCCCGAGGAGGAGGCCGCCCGGGUCGCGGACUGGAGGGAUCCGGACCCGCACAGCGGCAGGGAGCCGCCGGGCUCCAGCGCACGCGGGACUGUCCUAUAAAUCAGGCCUUCAUUGUGACGUAGACACGACAGCAGAGACCUCGGGAAUGAUGUUCUGGUGAUCAGCACC